AAGAGAGGAGCUUGCUCUUCUUGGAAGAGUUGCGAACGGGUGAGUAACGCGUAGGUAACCUGCCUUGUAGCGGGGGAUAACUAUUGGAAACGAUAGCUAAUACCGCAUAACAAUGGGUGACCCAUGUCAUUCAUUUGAAAGGGGCAACUGCUCCACUACAAGAUGGACCUGCGUUGUAUUAGCUAGUAGGUGAGGUAACGGCUCACCUAGGCGACGAUACAUAGCCGACCUGAGAGGGUGAUCGGCCACACUGGGACUGAGACACGGCCCAGACUCCUACGGGAGGCAGCAGUAGGGAAUCUUCGGCAAUGGGGGCAACCCUGACCGAGCAACGCCGCGUGAGUGAAGAAGGUUUUCGGAUCGUAAAGCUCUGUUGUAAGUCAAGAACGAGUGUGAGAGUGGAAAGUUCACACUGUGACGGUAGCUUACCAGAAAGGGACGGCUAACUACGUGCCAGCAGCCGCGGUAAUACGUAGGUCCCGAGCGUUGUCCGGAUUUAUUGGGCGUAAAGCGAGCGCAGGCGGUUUGAUAAGUCUGAAGUUAAAGGCUGUGGCUCAACCAUAGUUCGCUUUGGAAACUGUCAAACUUGAGUGCAGAAGGGGAGAGUGGAAUUCCAUGUGUAGCGGUGAAAUGCGUAGAUAUAUGGAGGAACACCGGUGGCGAAAUCGGCUCUCUGGUCUGUAACUGACGCUGA
rnacentral:rRNA from 1 species